GACGAACGCUGGCGGCGUGCUUAACACAUGCAAGUCGAACGGAAAGGCCCUGCUUUUGCGGGGUGCUCGAGUGGCGAACGGGUGAGUAACACGUGAGUAAACUGCCCUUGACUUUGGGAUAACUUCAGGAAACUGGGGCUAAUACCGGGUAGGAGCUCCUGCUGCAUGGUGGGGGUUGGAAAGUUUCGGCGGUUGGGGAUGGACUCGAGGCUUAUCAGCUUGUUGGUGGGGUAGUGGCUUACCAAGGCUUUGACGGGUAGCCGGCCUGAGAGGGUGACCGGCCACAUGGGUCCUGAGGUACGGCCCAGACUCCUACGGGCGGCAGCAGUGGGGAAUAUUGCACAAUGGGCGGAAGCCUGAUGCGACAACGCCGCGUGCGGAAUGACGGCCUUCGGGUUGUAAACCGCUUUCGCCUGUGACGAAGCGUGAGUGACGGUAAUGGGUAAAGAAGCACCGGCUAACUACGUG
rnacentral:rRNA from 1 species